GUCCCUCUAAAAUCAAUGUAUCCAAUAACUAGUAGUAUUUUUUUUCAUCUUUGUCCUCUAUAAUCUUGUAUUUCGGACAAGGCAAAGUUCAUUUUUCAAUUAUCAUUUAAAGACUAAGUUAUAGAUCGUGCCACAUGGUUUUCCUCUUUCACAUAUUGUUCGACAUGAUUGUACCUUAGUCAUUAUAGAUCCUAUAAAUAUCCUGCGAGUUGAAAGGACUU
rnacentral:lncRNA from 1 species